rnacentral:rRNA from 1 species
GGACUACACGGGUUUCUAAUCCCGUUCGCUCCCCUGGCUUUCGUGUCUCAGCGUCGGUGCAUCCCCAGCUGCCUGCUUUCGCCGUUGGCGUUCCAAAUGAUAUCUACGCAUUUCACCGCUCCACCAUUUGUUCCGGCAGCCCCUAGAUGACCCAAGACGCCCAGUAUACCCAGCAGUUCCACGGUUGAGCCGUGGGAUUUCACAAGGUACUUAGGCAUCCGCCUACACACGCUUUAAGCCCAGUGAUUCCGCCUAACGCUUGGCACCUCUGUCUUACCGCGGCUGCUGGCAC